rnacentral:sRNA from 1 species
UACAUACGUCCUGGUUCGACUGUACAUG